rnacentral:rRNA from 1 species
AGUGAACGCUGGCGGUAGGCCUAACACAUGCAAGUCGAACGGCAGCACAGUAAGAGCUUGCUCUUACGGGUGACGAGUGGCGGACUGGUGUGUAAUACAUCGUAAUCUACUUUUUCGUGGGGUAUAACGUAGGGAAACUUACGCUAAUACCGCAUACGACCUACGGGUUAAAGCAGGUUAUCUUCGGACCUUGCUCGAUUGAUUGCCCCGAUGUCGGAUUAUCUAGUUUGAGGGGUAAAGGCCCACCAAGGCGACGAUCCGUAGCUGGUCUGAGAGGAUGAUCAGACAGACGGGAAGUGAGAAACGGUACAGACUCCGACGGGAGGAAGCAGUGGGGAAUAUUAGACGAGGGGCGAGAGGCUGAUCCAGGCAUACCGCGUCAGUGAAGAAGGACUUAGGGUUGGAAAGCGCUGUUGUUGGGAAGGAAAAGAAGCAGGUUCAGACCGCGAUGUAAUGACGGUACCAAAAGAAUAAGCACCGGCUAACUUCGUG